rnacentral:rRNA from 1 species
GGAUUAGAUACCCUGGUAGUCCACGCCGUAAACGAUGUCUACUAGCCGUUGGGAACCUUGAGUUCUUAGUGGCGCAGCUAACGCGAUAAGUAGACCGCCUGGGGAGUACGGUCGCAAGAUUAAAACUCAAAUGAAUUGACGGGGGCCCGCACAAGCGGUGGAGCAUGUGGUUUAAUUCGAAGCAACGCGAAGAACCUUACCUACUCUUGACAUCCAGAGAACUUAGCAGAGAUGCUUUGGUGCCUUCGGGAACUCUGAGACAGGUGCUGCAUGGCUGUCGUCAGCUCGUGCCG